CCUCUGUUGCGUCUUCACUGAGUGGUGGGGGCUCAGUAGUUGGAAGGCUGGGGGGCAUUUCUACAGUCUGUGCUCUGUGCUGUAGCUGUAGUUCCACCUGACGGCUGAUAAUUCCCUCGUCAUGUCGUCUCUCAUCUGCGCUAUUUCUCUUCUCACGAUGUCUUUUGUUUCUCUCAGCUCUGUGUUGAGGGCCUGUUUAUCCUUCUGCGGGUUGGAGAUCUGUUCCCUGAGUUCUUGUGUAGUAGUGUCCAUCUGGUGCUUAUUUUGGUUGAGUUGUUCCUGGAGGUCAGGGUGUGUUGUGGUGCUGGUGGGGAGUAGCUGUUCUCUCAGCUCGGUCAGCUCCACCUCUAGCAGAGCCAGUCUGUCUCUCAGGAGGCUGAUGGUGUGCUGCUCUGGAUGCUGCUUGUUCGGCUCAGAUAAGGCAGGUCACCCUUCUAAUUGAUUCAGGCAGAUGGAGGGCCCUGACAGGUGACUUGUGUAUUACCUCCGGUGCAACAAAGGGUACGAUGUACUGCCCGUCCACCUGAAAAGGGCGUGCAGGACAACACGCCACAAGAAUGGGAUGCCGAAGUAAACCGGGCCAGACGGUCUCAAAGAGAGAGGACCAGGGUCGGUAGAUGCUGGGAGUAACAGGAACUGUGCUUCGUGGUUCCAGGUGAAGCGUCUCACCAGUCCCUGGUACGCUGCCACCAAAGC